rnacentral:rRNA from 1 species
AACGAUGAUGCUCCAGCUUGCUGGGGUGGAUUAGUGGCGAACGGGUGAGUAACACGUGAGUAACCUGCCCCCUUCUUCGGGAUAAGCUUGGGAAACUGGGGUCUAAUACUGGAUAUUCUGCAAUUGUCGCAUGGUGGUUGUGGGAAAGUAUUUUUGGUGGGGGAUGGGCUCGCGGCCUAUCAGCUUGUUGGUGGGGUGAUGGCCUACCAAGGCGUCGACGGGUAGCCGGCCUGAGAGGGUGACCGGCCACACUGGGACUGAGAUACGGCCCAGACUCC